rnacentral:tRNA from 1 species
CGCGGGGUAGAGCAGCGGUAGCUCGCGAGGCCCAUAACCUCGAGGUCACGGGUUCGAAUCCCGUCCCCGCAA